rnacentral:rRNA from 1 species
UGGGGAAUUUUGGACAAUGGGCGAAAGCCUGAUCCAGCAAUGCCGCGUGUGUGAAGAAGGCCUUCGGGUUGUAAAGCACUUUUGUCCGGAAAGAAAUCCUUGGCUCUAAUACAGUCGGGGGAUGACGGUACCGGAAGAAUAAGCACCGGCUAACUACGUGCCAGCAGCCGCGGUAAUACGUAGGGUGCAAGCGUUAAUCGGAAUUACUGGGCGUAAAGCGUGCGCAGGCGGUUUGCUAAGACCGAUGUGAAAUCCCCGGGCUCAACCUGGGAACUGCAUUGGUGACUGGCAGGCUAGAGUAUGGCAGAGGGGGGUAGAAUUUCACGUGUAGCAGUGAAAUGCGUAGAGAUGUGGAGGAAUACCGAUGGCGAAGGCAGCCCCCUGGGCCAAUACUGACGCUCAUGCACGAAAGCGUGGGGAGCAAACAGGAUUAGAUACCCUGGUAGUCCACGCCCUAAAACGAUGUCAACUAGUUGUUGGGGAUUCAUUUCCUUAGUAACGUAGCUAACGCGUGAAGUUGACCGCCUGGGGAGUACGGUCGCAAGAUUAAAACUUAAAUGAAUUGACGGGGUCAUAGCUGUUUCCU